rnacentral:rRNA from 1 species
UGGUCCUGAAUCUUAGUCUGCUAAUACUGUGGUAGGACCCUGACCUCCUAUUUUCAGUUGGUUUUGUUUACAGCGAGGUUAUAUCAGGGUAAUGAUUAAUAGGGAUAGUUGGGGGCAUUAAUAUUUAAUUGUCAGAAGUGAAAUUCUUGGAUUUAUGAAAGAUUAACUUCUGCGAAAGCGUUUGCCAAGGAUGUUUUCAUUAAUCAAGAACGAAAGUUAGGGGAUCGAAGACGAUCAGAUACCGUCGUAGUCUUAACCAUAAACGAUGCCGACCAGCGAUUAGGAGACGUUGAAUACAAA